rnacentral:misc_RNA from 1 species
GCUUGAUCUGAUCUGGGUACUUCUAAUUUCAUGUUGAUGUUAGCUUUGCCUUUUCAUUUUAUUAUGUUAUUGGUACAUGAUGGAUUGCUUUCAUAAAAAUUUUAGAGCUUUAGAUUUCAGGCUUUUCUUUCUUGUAGACCCCACCAGUUUUUGAUUCAAUUUGUAAAGGGUACCAAUCUCUUUAAUGAAAAGAAAUCUUCUUAUCAAUUUGAUCACUGGGGUUCGAUCUGGUUGAUUGGGGUUGAGUAGUUAGAGAGUUUGGAGUGUUAUUGCCAAUUUGGG